GGGAAGGGAGAAGAGACCUUAAAAGGCCCCCAUCUCCCAUGGAUGAGAGUUAAAUAGUUUCAGGAUGGGGCUGCAACUUUCCUUUGCUCUGUUGGAGGGAAAAGACACUGAGCUCUGCUGCUAGGAACCAAAGUCUCACUUUGCUCUUGUGACUUAUCUCGUGAUUCUGGGGGCUUUUAAGACACUUCUUCUAAAUAAAAACUGGCAGACGAAGAGGCAGGACAAUGUCCAAGCACCAGGGACAGUCAGAGAUGGAGAAGAUUGGUUGGUUGGUUGGUUUUUUUUGCUCUAUUUGAGAUCCAAACCUUCAGAGCAGCUGCAGGAGAGGAGACUGUUGUCAAGGGCGCGAGACACAGACACUGCUCAAAGGAGAGCCAUAAACCAAAGGCAAAGGUCCCCGGACAAGGGCCAGGGGCAGAGGGAGAGGAGUGCUUACAGCCGUCCCCUUCCAAUGGAAGUGAAGCAGAAUUUGCUCUCAUGCUUUUUCCCAGCCUGGAUUUCUGGUGAUUCUUUACAAUUAAUUUCACCUCUUUUCCCUACCAAGCUCCAGAACAUGUGAUUAAUCAGAAGGAAAAGCAGCAAGAACAGCAAACCGACGUAUCUAUGGAGUUUCUCUGGUUCUCUGCUGCCAACUGAGGGGCUCUCCCCACCUUCAUGGACGUCCCAGGGAUGUUUCAGAAGCCGAAAAUGCCUCUGGGUGGAAUCAGAAUUCAACUCCAGUCAGUCUGAAAAUCCUGCAGCUUAAGGGCAGGUCGUGAACCGGCUCCCAUUGCAAGGUUUGAACGUUUACAUUCAUGCUAAUUUCGGAGGGAUCUCUCAUUGGGAAAUGUAACCCGGAGAGAGAUGGAAAGAGGGUUAAGAAAAGAAAUGAAACCGUGUCCUGGGAGUCGGGUUGUAAAAAGGCUGUUACCUGGUAGUUUUCAGGCUCAGGCGCUAUAAAGUGACUUUUACAAGGAAGGGUUCUGUUUGAAGGCAUGAGGGCCGUGGGGAACGCGGCAGAAGGUCGGACGGGAGCGGGGUGCCCCGACGGCACAGCUCUGUAGUGCGUGCUGGCAGUGAGCCUCGAGAGGCGGCGGUUUGGGGCUGUUUUGUGUGAUUGCAUCCCCUGCAAAGGGCCGUUGUUUGUCGGGGACUUUUGGGUUAAUCUUUUCCGACCAAGCACAGAUUUUUUUGUUAAAAAACAAAACAACACAUUCGGAGCGAAUCUUCAUUCCUUCUAGCCGAGAUAUCCUGCGCCUCAAUCCUCGACUUUCCCCUUAAAGGUUCUAUGCCUAUUUCUCCUUCCUUUUCCUCCUCCCCAGUUCCCCGACGGCUCUCGGUUCUGGAAAAAGGCUGAGGACAAGUGCAAGGAGAGGGGCCGGGGCUGCUGUCUGCCUUUGCCCCCGGGCGGGGUGGAGGCACCGCGGGCUGCCAGUGUGCAAAGCGAGCCUGGACUUUGGCCCAUAGGGGAAAGGACAGGGACGAGUCUGCACGGAAAAGCCCCCCCGCCUCCCCGAGGGGUCACAGUGCAGGAUCAGACCCUGAAGGAGGAAUUAUAUUCUUUAUUAAUGGAGGAUUUUUGGCUACGUUCCCCAUUGCUGUACAAAAGGCUGUUGAAAGAGCAAGUGGGAAAGCGAUUGGAAGAGAAGAGAGGCAGAAAGGCGCUGAAAUGGGGGAAAACCCCCGACUUCGUAGCACCCAGCUGCUGCAAUCCGGGUGCUGCGCUCAGUCCUGGGAGCAUCGGGAAAGGAGACCACAGAAAAGAGAGCAAAGACCCCUCCGGGUCUCGGAGAGCUUCGAAAAAAGUCUCCUCUCUCUUCCUCUCCAUAUGUAUGAAUUUUCGGUUUAUACCUCUAAUUUCCAAAAGCUUUUAAAUCCCUUCGAUUACCCUUUCUAUAAUAACUGCCCAUUAGUAGCUACUAAAAUCCGCUCCGUUUUAUUUUUUGAGUAUGUGCCGCGAAUACAGAACCAGUUGCGGUUAUAAACCAUCUCCUCCCAUCAUGAGCUUGAACAGAUUUCCAGCACUCCUUUCCCUCAGGCUUAAUUCCAGAAGGAGAUGCGGAUUACUAACGAAGAGAUUGGAUUAAAGAGAUUCUAACGAAGAACCAAUUUUCCCCUUUUUCUUCUCGCUCUCGGCUCGAGCCAUUUUGGAAACGGUGCCUCCAACCACCGGGAACCCGCUGAGUUGCUGUAGGGAUUUGGGGUUUUUAUGUUUGGUUGCGUUGUUGUUGCGUUGUUUGUUUGUUUUUCCCUUGGCAAUUGCAGCCCUGCAGAGGAUUGCGCCACAAAGCGCAUUUUUUUUUUUCUUAGAGACAAAAUGAAUCCCCGGUGAUUGUUAAAUUGCAGUGCGAGGCCAGGCAGCUAAUCCAGUGUAUAAAUCCUAUUCGGAGCAGGCUGGGUGCGGCUUCCUGAGCCGGGCAAGCUCCAGAGCUAACCCCACAAUGGGGAUCUGCGUGUCACCUCCCGGCUCCUCCUUGUGUGUCCCGACGCGACAAGUGGUUUUUCCAUUCCCAAAAGCACCGCAGCCUUAUUGCAUGUAACAUACAAAAUUCCCCUCCCCUGCACGUAGACUUGUACAGCCCGAGGGCAAAUGGACUGCGGGUACGUGAGGAUUUGUCCCAUGGGGCUGCGGGGACAGAGCUGAGCCCUCCCCUAUGGCAAAAGCUUCGGGCUGAGCGCACGCAGUUGGGCUUGGCUUUGGAUUUUUUGGGGAUGGGUUUUCGUGCCUCGGUAUAACCAAGGGGUUUUGUUUCACCUCCGAAAGGGUUUUCUCAAAAUAGCCCCCAUACCAAAAAUGGGGAGGCUGGAAAUAGCGGUGUGAGUAAACGCGUCGGAGUGGAGGAGCGGGGAGGAACAACGGGAAAGUCGGCGUGAGCCGCAGCCGCGCGUCCUCGUAUUAAAAAAUACGCGGCGGCAGCAGCGGCACCCCCCCCCCCCCUCUUCCCCCCCCGCAAAGCGGUGAAGUUUCCCAUUAAAAUUGACACCAGGGGAUGGUCUUAGCAGCCUCGUCCGCCCCGGAUUGGUGAGCCCCGCCGGAAGCCGCCUGCACACGCAUUUUCUAACAGAUAAGUCAAUCGGCAGAGACUUGCCCCCCUCUCCCCCCCCCACCUUAUCCCAAAAUACCGUUUUCGCAAAGCCGGAGCCCACCAGUCACCCGGCAGCUCCCAGCACUCCCCUCUCCGCCACCCACCCUCGGCUCCUUAGCUCUAAAGGAGGGGGAUGAGGGGAUGUUUCCCCCCUCGCACCUCCUUUGGGGGUGCAAAAGGGUCGGCAGCAGCCGGCACCGGGGGUCCCGCACCCAGCCACCCCUCCGGGCCCGCAGCUUCCCCGGUGCCGCAUAACCUCUGUCCUCAGUCGGCUCUGGGAUGACGUGGCUUCGCACCCACCGCAAUUGGGGAUUUCGAGGUGUCCGUUCUGCUGGAGGCUCCUUAUGGACCGGGGGGAAAUAAAAAGAGAAGAUAGGCCUUUUCUUUUUUGUCGCGGCACGAAAUACCGUCUUUAGGCAAGGGUCUAAAGAUGCUAAAACGGCACCAGAAAUCGAAGUCUAGGAAAGGAGUGAGAAAAAUGAAAUAACGCGAAAUCGGCCGGAGCUGGGGAAGGUUCGCUCUAACAAGUGGUGGGAGGAUGCUCUGCCAACGAGUGGGGCUGCCUCUUCUUUAUAUAUUUCCUUGGCUCUUAUUAUUAUUAUUAUUGCUAUUUUUUCUUCGGAGUGGGAGAGUUUGCUUAAAAAGUGAUCUUAAUUAAAAAGAGAAGGAGCGGAAUGGGUAAGUCGGUGCUGGAUUCGGCCUCGCCGAGUGCUGGGGAGGGAGGUGGUGUUCGUAACGUGUUGGUCUUUUUGUAGUUUCCCACGUGUAGAUUCCCGAGAAUACUUAAUGCUUCUCAUCAGCUGCAGCCGUCCGGAUAGAAAGCUGUUGGCUGCUUCUGCGGACGGGCGAGCAGAGCUGAUCGUCUUCCCCCUUCUUUAGCUUCUAUGAUCAUUUCUUCCUCUGUCUUCUCAAAGUUCAAGCUCUUUUUUAAAACAAAGAUCGGGAGCAAAACCGAUCUUUGUUCGCACCUCCACUUCUCCGCACCGUCUGUUGAGAGUUCCGUCUAUUCUCGGUUCCGACUCUUCACGGUUAGCAUCGUUUCUUUGUUUCUGCGUUGGGCUGAAACCCACUUAAUCUGCACCAUCCAGCGGGAAACGAAUCGGGGACUGCAGACACACGGCAGGGAAAUCCCUCUUGGAGCAAAGCUGGGAACUUCUGGAACAAAUCCCCCCCAAUAGCGGUUACCUCUCCUGAUGCCCACCCAGUCAAACCCACUACUAACCACCAUCCGCCCCACGCUUUCCAUCUGCGUGGCUCUUCCAUUCGCAUCGGUGUCCUCUCUUCUAUUUUAGUUUAUUUUCCUCCCCUCUCUGCCGACUCUUAGAGCCCGCUGUGUGGACGGAAGCUUGCUAGGCUUGGAAUUAAAAGGUCAUUUCGAGAGGAUUGCCAAGUCUACGUGCUGGGGGGACUCAGCCUUUUAUGCCGCCAUGUGUUGUCUCCGUCCGCUGCCAUAGGAAAGCAGUUGUGCCGUAAUGAGAAAGAGAAGAUUGACCUUACCUGGAGAAGCAGCUGUGUGGGGAUGGUGAAAAUCCCCUCCUCGUGGUAACUGCCCCGAUUGCGACGUGAUGCGCAGUUCUGCGCUAAGAGGCAGCGAGAAACUGCUGUUCGUCCAACACAUUUCCCACGAGUUGCUCUCCUGCCAAGGUCCCGUCUGCCCCAUAUCGGCCCGACUCGGGGUGUGUGUGUGUAGGGGGGGGGGGGGGGCAAAAGCGGUGCGGAAAGAGCCCGUCUGAAAGAAUCUCCCCCUUUUCUUUUAUUACUGCACAUUCUUUUAUCGCUGCACGUUUUACAGAAACUCUCCCUCCAGAACUUAAUUCUCGUACCUGUGCCCUUUUCCCACCCUACUGCCUUGCCUCGGUGUGGUGGAGGCAGAUCCCUCCCAGACUUCAGACGAUUUUUGGGGUGGGGGUGGAGGGGUUCCCCACUAUCUGGCGGUGACCCCACAGCAGAUCGUCGCGGGGGACCCAGCAGCAGUAGGGUAUAAAACCCCCAAACCGGCGGCAGUGGGAGCGAAGCGAUCGCCCAGCUAUUGCGUGGGAGCUCGAUAUGAUUUCAUGGAGGGAGGCGAGGAGGGGGGAGGAUUAGUCUGGUAGCUAAAAUGUGGGCUCCUGAACAACAAUCCAACUUUAUUUUAACUUUCUCUCCUCCGGCUUCCCCUUUCCAAAGCGCAUACGCUUUUACUUUACAGGGGACCGAAAUGCUUUAUUAACUGCUGAGAUUACAAACCUCAUUUGGAAUUGUGUUUUUUAGCCGGAGUAUACUUUCGGCUCUUGGAAAAUUGCCCACAUGUGUAACUUGUUUUUGCUUCUCUUCAGACAAGGAAUUCCGCCUCCCCCCCACCUCACCCCCCCCCCUUCUUCUCACCACUUACGGAUUUUUAACAGACGGCCGCAUUCAAACUGAGGGCUAGCACAGGAAAUGGCAAAGGUAGAACCCUCUUCUUUCAGGCUACAGAAACUUAUUUCACAUUUUUUAUUAAAAAAAAAAAAGAAAGAAAGAAAGAAAAAAAAAGGAGUUUUACUCCUCAAGAGGGAUUUUUGUUCCGCUCUCGUGAGUUCGGGGGGGUUUGGGACUGAAGUUUUCUCUCUUAGAUCCGCGUAAAUGCGUUGUUUGGGAAUUAUGAGCGCUUUAAGCUGGGGUUUUAUUACUGUUUCCCCGUUUUAAAAUAUUUCUAUUAUUAUUAAUAAUUAUUAUUAUUAUUUCGGCAUACUUUUCAUAUCCGAAAUUAACGCUCAGCCCUUUGAAGGCUGAGUGAUUUCUGAAUCUGGUCUCCAGACACCCCAUAGCCGCGAGGUUCGCUCUCAGCUGUUAUCCCCUCUUGCAUAUCCUUAUCGCCUUCAAAACCCAACGUGCAAAAGAAGAGUGAACGUAUCCAAGUAACGCACACUGCACACCGCCUCGAAACCGUGAUAGGACCCCCCCCGUCCCAUCCCAGCACAGCAGAAAGCUCCGCACCCCCGGAUCCCCCCCCCACCUCCUUCAUCUCAAUGCUAAAGCAUCUGGAAAAGGAAGGUGCCAAUUCUAAUAAACGAUAACAACUGCCCUUAACAAUAGUAAAAGUGCUUAAAUAUGUUGCCGGCCAAAAAUAAAUAAAAAUAAAUAAAUAGGAUCGUCCGCUCUUUUAUUUUUCUGAUGCCAAAACUUCCACAUCAGCAAAAGAUGGCAGUGGAGCAGAGACCUGAAAGCUGCAUCUUGUGAAGGCGUUUUGUGUUUGGUCGCUGGCGGUGCAGCAAUACCGACCCGAGGAGCUGUUUCUUAAGGAUGAAUUUUUGCAGCUGUGUGUUUCAAAGGGGAGCGCUGUGUGGAAUUGGUUCCCUCUCCCUACAAACAAGAAAGAUUAUUUAUAAACAACAUCUGAGCUAGGAAGCCUCUGGGUUUCCGUUGCAAGCUGACAACACUCCCAGUUUUUUUCCUCACAGGCAAAGAAUACACUUGGCACUGAUUCUGAGAGCAGCAAAAAGUUUCCACUUCGGACUUUUUUUAGGGGGGGAACUGUUUCUAGUUCCACUUUACCGACCAGCAAUAAACCCAUACCUCAAGUGAAGGCAGCCGGUGUGCAAAGCGAGCACAGCUCGCACACCCUGGCUGCUCUAACCCAAAAACUCAUCCCGAAAUUGACUCCCCGAGGUCCCUUUCUCCCCGGCUUUUCCUCCUCUGAGUUUUUUGUUUUUUGUUUUUUGUUUUUUUUUUUUUUUUUCUCAAAGAGAAGAGCCUUUCAUACCAUUUCUUUCGGGGUCUAUUUGAGGCUUUCAUGUAUGAAGUCACAGGAAACAGACAGCACCACGCGAGCGGGGCUCCCAGAUCUGGGAUGGAGCGGCUGCUCGCCUGGAGUCCCUCUCAGCAAAGGUUACAAAGAGAUGAGCUAUGGGAAUAUGCAUCAAAAAUAAACUACUGAACAAACGGAAACCUCCAGAGGAGCGAAAGCAAAUGGAUUUGGCAGAUCAUCUUGUGAGGUUUCCAUCCACCAGGGAUCUGAGAACUCCUGCUCUUUGCCUCACAGCCACACUCCUAAGAGUCUUCUUGGUCUGAAUUUAUAUACUACAGAAGAUUAUAUACUCACAUGCUGACACAGUUCAUCAUUAUUUAUAGGAGGCGCACCAGGAUUUUUUUUUUUUCCCAAGAAUAUAUUUAUUACAGGUAAGACACAGCCAAUCUAUCUAGCAAACAGAGAACAGGUGUUUUGCUUCAAUUAACGUUCAAUAAUUUUAUCUAUACUUAUUCAACACCCCGAUGCCAACACGGCUGUUUAUCCAUCACUUGUAUAAACACAUUUCCACGAGCCAGGAGAGUUUAAUCUCCAGAACUCGCUUAAAUCAGCCCUUCCCUUUUCCAAGCUCUCAUAACAUUUUCAGAGUCCCUCCGAAUCUGUUGUGAAAUAGGCUGAUGUAAUAAAAAGAGUAAAGUCUGGAAGGCAAUAAAGCGGAGGACGAUGGCAAUCCGAGCAAGCAGCUCGCAUUGCAUGGCUGAUGACACGGGAUCCCUUAAGUUCAAAAACUCCGUAACGAGUUAAAGGGAAGAGCAAAUAAGAGUAGUUGGGGAAAGCAGGAAUUCCUCCCGUCGCUCGCCCUGGUCUGGGAGAUCAGCGAUCCUGCCCCACGCUGCUCACUUGUAGGGAUUUCUCUGCCUUCCCCAGUUUAAAUGCAAAGGGAUGAAGUGGGGUUACUUUGGAUGCACCCCACAGAAAGGAUAGGAAGGUUUGUCGGGCGGUGAGGACUCACCUGGUCACAUUUACUCGCGACGGUCUUUGCAAGAGCUUAACUCAGAGCUCACCUUGGCUGGAGCCCGAGACUGCCUCUGCUCUUCCAGACCAGGGAGCGUUUUGCUCUGGCUGGGGGUGGGGUGGGGGGGCUCUUAUUACCCUGAUUGAUGUAAAAAUUAAAAAUAAAUCCGAUCUCCGGCACUGGACUCGGCUCUCUCUGCCCAUCAUCCCGACCCUCUCGAUUAGUUCUGUUUUUAAAUGAAAAUGGACAGCUUCUUCCCAGCGCCUCUUGCAGAGGGUCUCUGCUUCUCGAUGCGGGGAAUUGUCCCUUCAUCACGCUGCGGGGCAUCGAAAAACACCGCUGAUGGGAAUAAGGGAGAACCUAACAAUUUGGGUGUCGGGUUUUUAGCGCCUUAAUGAUCACCCCGUAUCAGUAUAACACCUCUGAUAGUAAAUUCAUACAUAGGUUUUGUACAGACGAGCACAUAGGAGUCAUAUACACACACAUACGGUAUCACA
ensembl:lncRNA